AGUAGCCGCGGUAAUACGAAGGGGGCUAGCGUUGUUCGGAAUUACUGGGCGUAAAGCGCACGCAGGCGGCUCGAUAAAUUAGAAGUGAAAGCCUUGGGCUUAACCUGAGAAUUGCUUUUAAGACUGUCGAGCUAGAAUCCAGAAGAGGGUAGUGGAAUUCCGAGUGUAGAGGUGAAAUUCGUAGAUAUUCGGAAGAACACCAGUGGCGAAGGCGACUACCUGGUCUGGCAUUGACGCUCAUGUGCGAAAGCGUGGGGAGCAAACAGGAUUAGAUACCCCCGUAGUCCCUGUCUCUUAUACC
rnacentral:rRNA from 1 species